GUAUAGUAGAUAUUGAAGAAGAGGAGGUGUAUUAGUUACUGGAAGUAGAGAGGGGUAAUAAUUACUAUAACAAGAGAGGAGGUGUAGUAGUUACUGGAAGUACAGGGGGUAAUAAUUACUAUAACGAGAGAGGAGGUGUAGUAGUUCCUUCAAACAGGUGUAUCCAGGCCCUGGACAAUCAGUGAA